GACGAACGCUGGCGGCGUGCUUAACACAUGCAAGUCGAGCGGUAAGGCCCUUUCGGGGGUACACGAGCGGCGAACGGGUGAGUAACACGUGGGUGACCUGCCUUUAGCUCUGGGAUAAGCCUGGGAAACUGGGUCUAAUACCGGAUAUGACCCUAUGGCGCAUGUUGUGGGGUGGAAAGCCUUGUGCGGCUAGGGAUGGGCCCGCGGCCUAUCAGCUUGUUGGUGGGGUGAUGGCCUACCAAGGCGACGACGGGUAGCCGGCCUGAGAGGGCGACCGGCCACACUGGGGACUGAGACACGGCCCAGACUCCUACGGGAGGCAGCAGUGGAGAAUCUUGCGCAAUGGGCGAAAGCCUGACGCAGCGACGCCGCGUGAGGGAUGACGGCCUGG
rnacentral:rRNA from 1 species